rnacentral:tRNA from 2 species
AGGGGUAUAGCCAAGUUGGUAAGGCACGGGACUUUGACUCCCGCACGCGUUGGUUCGAGUCCAGCUACCCCUGCCA